rnacentral:SRP_RNA from 1 species
GCUGGGCAUGGUGGCGUGUGCCUGUAAUCCCAGCUACUCAGGAGGCUGAGGCAGGAGAAUUGCUUGAACUCAGGAGGUGGAAGUUGCAGUGAGAUCGCGCCACUGCACUGCAGCCUGGGCAACAGAGCAACACUCUGUCUCCA